rnacentral:misc_RNA from 1 species
ACAUACUCGGAGUAAUUCGCCCAGAUCAUAUUUAUUGAAGGCCACUGCUCUUAUUCUGCUUGAACAAUACGAGGAUGCACGUGAAGCACUUCUUUCAGGCCUUCAACUUGAUCCUUUUAGCCAUCUCCUUCGAACUUACCUUCAGGACUUGGAGAAGAUUUCAACUGGUAAACUUAAGAAGAUAAUACAACGAACAGAUGACUUCGAAUGUACCCUGUGCCUGAAGUUGUUGUAUGAACCGGUCACUACUCCUUGUGGACAUUCUUUUUGCCGUUCUUGUCUUCUGCAGUCCAUGGACCAUGGUAAUAAGUGUCCUAUGUGCCGGACAAUCCUAUUUAUCAGUCCCA